rnacentral:lncRNA from 1 species
AAACUAGUCUCAGGGAGAAGAUUAGAAUGUAUGGAAAAAUAGCCCUUCGAGGAUUAACCCAUAUACUUCAUGAGUUGACCCAUGUUAGACAAAAGUCAACCUUGAGAUUAGUAGAGUCGGUCAUAGAACAGCCUUAGAUAAAAGACAAAGGAUGCUAAAAAAUGCAUUCUUUUAAAGUUGACUAAAAGACAAGUCAAGUUAGGGC